UACGUAGGUGGCAAGCGUUUGUCCGGAAUUAUUUGGGGCGUAAAGCGCGCGCAGGUGGUUCCUUAAGUCUGAUGUGAAAGCCCACGGCUCAACCGUGGAGGGUCAUUGGAAACUGGGGAACUUAGUGCAGAAGAGGAAAGUGGAAUUCCAAGUGUAGCGGUGAAAAUGCGUAGAGAUUUGGAGGAACACCAGUGGCGAAGGCGACUUUCUGGUCUGUAACUG
rnacentral:rRNA from 1 species